UGUAUCCGGCAAAGAGAGAGAAAUGAACGUGCGAGCGAGCAAGCAUCGAGCGCGCACGCACGCGUGCGUGCAUGCAGUUACGUAUAUUCACUCGCGCGAAUUAUUCUCGUCGACGGUGCUCCAGCCGGUUCCAUUAAUUCGAGUGCGCUACUCUACCCUGUAGAGGGUGAAAUUACCCUUGAAAUUAUAACAGGUUGAUACUUCAACCGCACUGGCAUCGACCGUCAGGUCGCACGGCACGAUCGAUAUUACUUGGUCGAUGCGAUAUGGGCAUCAAUAGUAUAUACACAUACGCGAGCCCGCCGUUUAGAGAAUAGUUUUCAAUUAAGCACACUAAGAAUGAUAGCGAUAAAACAAGCUCGUCGAAUCGUUGUACUGAGACCCAGUCUCGGAAUCGGAUAAUCGCCAUUGUCAAUUAAGCUUCGCCAAACGACUACUGAUCGCGCUCGAUGCAAGGACUGAAUGCGCAUGCGUCACGUUCGAUUUUCGUAUCGUAUCGUAAUAUUCAUCGAAUGUCAUAUUCAUCACGAUUCUUCUUUGAAUGCACUGGUGUACAACUUCUUCGAUCAAUCUAAAUCUAGUCUCAAAGGAUUCUUUCUGAAGAAAGGCUCAUCGUCGAAGCUAUUUUAUAUCACGAAUAAGCAUGCAAGUAUCAACACAACGACAUCAGCACGAUACACGUUGCACAGACGGUUACGCAUACACGACUUCUUUCCACGGCACUACCAGACGCUGCUAACCCCCACUACUGCGCCGUAGUCUAACACCAAGAGGCCAAAGUCUCACAGACGAAUUCUCACACCCGCGCACAGUCGGAGCGAGCAAGAGUAAGAGUAAGAGGAAGAGAGAAAGAAGAUAGGAGGUAGAGAUAUGGAUAGACAGAUACAGACGGAGAGAGACAAGGAACGAGACGCUGUGCAAGCAGACAGAGAUAGGAAAUAGGCAAGAAGAGACAGUCUCGCAAGAGCUGUUCGGGUAUACGGGCUCUCGUUCGCGACGUCGUCGUCGGUAGUAUAGACGCGCCUUAAGGAACUUCGACGCCUGACCUUACCUCGGCCAAGGUCGUGCCACGACGAACCGUCUGCCGUCUCUAAUGUCGUUUUGACUGACUGGGAUCCGUGUUUUGACGAGCGGCGGACCGUGCGUGUGCUCGGUCAUCGGGUGGACGUAACGUCACUGGAGAAAGGCAAGCACACACGUGACAUAGGGAGUCUGUGGUGCAGUUUUAUUUCCACCGAAGCCAACACACGGUCCAUUUCGCCGACCGAGACCAAACUUUUCCAUUAGGCGACGCGACUAACGCUCCCAUGGCUCUUCUUAACGACUCCCGGUCUCUUAUAUUAAAUUCCGGUUUUCGAGGUAAAAGUAUUUCGAUACUUGUGCGUUGCUUCCAGACGAGGAUCCGACGAAAAGCAUCAUCCGUAGCAAGCAAGCAUCUAAGACGUAACACAAUUACGUAAUUAACUUUUCCAGCUUUCGGCCAUAAGUUUCCAGAUAGCAACUAAGGGCUACUCCUCUUCGAGGUUCGAGCGUGAUGCUAUACCUGUGCAUGCACUUUAUAACGAUCCAGGCAAACUUUUCUCUUCGUUUGUUUCGCGCCGCUGUAACUGUUCCGCGCGGCUAAACGCGAGCCGGGACCAGUAGCUCGAACAUUUUCGUGGCACGGUUAAACUUUCCCUUUCGCUGCCUCUCGUCUGUUUACCGAGAGGCAGAGUCGCGAUCAAAACAACCGCGAAUCUCGGACGAUGAUUCGCUCGUCGCUCAUAGCGUAUAUACCACCACGAGUCUCUCUCUAUCUUUUGUUCCCCAUAUCAGACUGCGUGUACAUACCAUAUCAAACCGCGUGUAGCGAUAGCGCACAGUCUCAUCGGUAUAGAUGCACCGACGACGUCGUCUGUGACGACCGCGACGGCGACGAUGGCGGCGGUGGCUUUAUCGCUCGCGAGUGAACCGAGCGGAGCGCGCGUGUCUGGCCCGUGCGUGUGGACGCGGCUUAAUACACGCCGGUGAGAAAAAGUGAGAAAGAGACAGACACCAUGGAAGGAGAAAAAGGCUGAGCGUGAGUAAGAGAGAUCGGUGUGGUGUGAAAGAGAGAGGACUGGCGUACGGACAGAGAAGGAGAGUCGCACGAGACAGUUGCGCGCGCGAGCGUACGUCUGUGUGCGAAGUUGGCCGCGUCUGUGUACGCGCCGUCUAGACAGGAGGUUGUUGGGGCCGAACGAGGGUCGGCGGAGAGAGGCGAAAGACGACGUUGUGCUGGGCUGGAGGGAUUCGUACGGAGAGAAGGUGGGGUGGAUACGGGUCUUCACGUUUGGAAAGGCAAACAUAUGGAACGUAGAAGGCUAGAUAAGCGAAAAUUGUGAUAUACGAAAUGCACGAAUGGCGAAUAAAGGAAAUAAUAUACAAAUACUAAUGUAAUAUUGUUAUAUAUAUAUUAUAAUAAAUAUAAUAGCACACUAUUACAUGUAAUAGUGUAAUUGUUAGUUUAAAAUUUAAAAAGAAUUAUACGUAAAAAUAAAUUUAUAUAAUAAAAUUUGUAUUAUCUUUUGUAUCGUGUUAUUAUUUAAAAUAAACAAUUUGAAAAUA